UACGUAGGGGGCUAGCGUUGUCCGGAAUCAUUGGGCGUAAAGCGCGUGUAGGCGGUUUGGUAAGUCCGCUGUGAAAGUCGGGGGCUCAACCCUCGAAUGCCGGUGGAUACUGUCGAACUAGAGUGCGGAAGAGGCGAGUGGAAUUCCUGGUGUAGCGGUGAAAUGCGCAGAUAUCAGGAGGAACACCAAUGGCGAAGGCAGCUCGCUGGAACGGUACUGACGCUGAGGCGCGAAAGCGUGGGGAGCGAACAGG
rnacentral:rRNA from 1 species